UAUCAUGUUGAAACAACACAGGUUUUCAUACAAUCACUGAAGUUAAGCAACAUUGAGCAUGGUCAAUACCUAGAUGGGUGACCACUUGGGUAUAACAGGUGCUGUAAG